rnacentral:lncRNA from 1 species
UUUUUUUUUUUUUGAGGGAUGCUUGUCUCGAACUGGUUUUUUUUUUUGAGGGAUCUCGAACUGGUGGAAGAGAUAGAACCUGAACCGGCUAUCGACCGUCUCUUCACUGCUGUGUUGUACAAGCGCCCCUGGGCCUCAUGGGAGGACGAGGAUGAGGUUGACAACCUUGCGUGUAAGAGGCCCAAGUUCUUGUAAGGCCAAGUAGGCCGUUGCAAUGAUUUGCAUGCGUGCUGCGGAGUAUCCACGUACCAUCAAAUAAAAACGUUGAAGUGUGCGGCAUUUGUGCGUGUGGUAUUUCUGAAAUAAUUAUUUUAGUUUUGGUGGCUAUUUUUUUAUUCACUUGCAUAAUGCGUUUGCUACAAUGAACAAACUCGUGGUCCAUGAUGUUGACAAAAGAGAAAUGUCUUUUUGUUGAUUUUCGUUGUGAGUGUAGAAUAUUAUCGAUAAAGGGAAAAAAAAUCCCGAUAGGGGGUAGAUCAAAAAUUUGUAUGUUCUGUCCAUUUUAUGAGGCGGCAUUAUUUUAAACGAAUUAACGAGAAUUACCCAUCUCAUUCUAACAUUUUCUGUUUUAUUUUAAAUCAUCUGCUACCCCAUGAGCGUUGCCAUGGGUUUAAUUGUUUUGAACGUUUUAGCUGCUCUCCAUGAUAAUGGGUGGGAAAAUGUUUCUGAAGAUGGGGGAUUGGAAUUUUUUGAAAUGGGUGUAAUUUAUAGUCGAAAGAGAAGAAACCAACUUAGCAAUUAGUUUCAUCGUCUGGUGCUAGUAUUUCAUCGUCUGCUGCUAUCUUGUAUGAUUAAAUCUAUCGAACUAGUUUGCUUGGCCAUAUCUCCGGUUUAUGAAUGUAUGCAAAUCUGCUUCAUCUUUGAUUGACUUUUGCUGUUCAAUGGAAAAAGAACAUGCUUCAUCUUUUAUCAAUAAGCAUGAUCCGCUGGUUCCACCCAUUUAGAAAAAAAACAUGGCCCACCGAAAACAUUUGACAAAGUUGAUCUGCCGAUUUGGAAAACUUGUCAAACUCUAACUCAUUCAUAUAAUUGUUAUCAUCCACCAAAAAAACUUAUAAUUGUUCUCGUCCACUAAAAACUUUAUUCAAAGUUGUUCUACCGAUUUGGAAAACUUGAAAAACUCUAACUCAUUCAUAUAAUUGUUUUCGUCCACCGAAAACUUUAUUCAAAGUUGAUAUACCGAUUUGGAAAACUUGAAAAACUCUAACUCAUUCAUAUAAUUGUUUUCGUCCACCGAAAACAUUCGACGAAGUUGGUCUACAGAUUUGGGAAACUUGUCAUGCGUAGUACUUCACGUGAAAAAACCCGAGGGAUAUUACUCCAUGGUUUUUUCUCGUAUCAUGAUCAAUGAAAAGAACCAACUUCGGUAAUUGAGUCGGCUGCAAGGGUUUGAGUGAUUCGAUCCUAGGAUCAGUUCCUUCUGUUCAUCAUGUUUCAAAACAUGUUUUCGUCCAUUUCGGAAUCCAUAAAACCCAUGGGUUUGCAGAAAACAAGCACGAUUGGGAAAUCUGGUGAGUUUUCUCUCCUAUGUCAAUUAUUGAUGAAGAAACCAAUUUUUUGGAGUGGGUGUAAUUUAGAGUCGAAAGUGAAGAAACCAUUUUUUCAAGCCAGUUAUAACCACGACGUCUCGUCAUUCACCUGUGGGGAAAGGUGAAACCUUUUUAUUUUAUUAUGCGUGUAAAACCUUUUUAAUUAUUUUAUUUUAUUUUAUUACUUCAUUAUUUUAUUUUAUCAGUUCAACGGAUAUGUAGAAGAAUAUCUCUAAAACAAUGUUCUCACCCUAAUGAGGGGGCAUGUUUUGCCAAAGGAAAUGAGUUAUCUCAGAUAGAGAAAAAAGACAGAUUCCUAGCGCCCCAUGCGUCGUGCUCUGCUUUUCCUUUGGUCAUCCAGGACGGACUCGAUCAUGAUUUGAUCAGCGACGCUCAACGCGAGUGAUGUGGGCAGGGCGUGGGAACAGUAUGGCUAUUUUUGAAUUGCCACCGGGUACAUUGUGGAUAGACGUAUAGACAACUCGCCCCAGUCAUAGUCAUGGCUACUUUGCUUGUGCUCCCGUUGGUUUCUUCGAUGGGUCUCGGCUCAUAAAGUUCCACCCCACUUUAUAAAUGAUACUGCUGUAAUAACAGCGAGUUAUAGCCCAGCUGCUUCUUUUUUUAUGUCGAGUGGUGCAUGUGUGGAUUAAUGCCAGGAGGGAGCUAAAUUCGAUCCGGCAAGGAUGGAUCACGUGCGCCCGCGGCUGCAGUGGCCCUCGCUUUUUGGCACUACGUAACUCCAUGGUUGGGUCGUACUACUCUCGAGCUACUCUGUUUAAAAAAUCCACACGGUACGCUGUUCGCAAGGAGAUGGACAGCGGAGAGGGGGCUGCUUUGAAUCCACUGCCGGUGUGCACAGGAGCCAUCAUCACACUUUGCCCUCAUGGCUGCUCGAGUUGACGGCUACGCAGAUCCCCUGUUUAGUCAGCCAUUACUUCGCCGUCCUCCUUGCUCGCAGCACCGCUUGCAUAAGAGCCGCGUCUCGCCAAGCUAGCUCGACCGAAGGAGAGCUUCAGUCAUUGCAAGAACAAGAUUCUGCUUCCUCUUGAAAUGGUACCGGCGACCUCGACCAGUUCCUUGGGCUGGGAGCGGCGACCGACGACGAGGUGAGCAUCCAUUCCAUUCCCUCCACUCGUUCAUCGCUCUGCCUUGGGUUGCUUACUGAUAUGGUUGUUCUUGCUCUUUUGUUUCGUGUUAUUGUUUCGUCAUGGUUCCUUGCUUGUUCAUUCGUUAGAUGUCCGACGAUCCAGAUGCGUACGCUAGAAGAUAUCCGCAUAGGAGUAGGUCAUGGGCCCGGGUCUAUGAGUCCAGGAAGAGAUCCAAGGGUAGCAAGAUCCAUGUUGAUAGUUAUUUCGCUCCAAAAGAUGUGUAUGAAGUAGUAGAUCAGUUUACGCUCGACCAGAGAGCAGCCAUAGUGGAUAUCGGGCUCGGAGGGAUGCUAAACGUAGACAACUUCACACACAUGGACCGUGAAUUCUCAUGGGACUUGUUGCUGAACACUGAUGUCGAGCGCUCUGCUCUUAAGAUAGAGGAUGGUGUCUAUGUCACUUUCAACGAGAUUGACAUCCACAACAUCUUAGGCACGUCUGUCGGGGGUGAUAUUGAGGUAGACAACAGAUAUGGUGGACCCAUUGUAGCCCAAGUUCAUAAGAUUAGGACCGUGCUAGAUUUAAAAGAUGUCCCUUUGUACGUGACGACCGCUGACUUGAGGUGGGCUCUCAAGAAACCAUGUCAAACUCCCCUUUCCGAGGAAGACAAAGUCAGGACCCAGGUUGGUUUUGCCAUCCUUUGCAUUGCCACUUGUUUCAGUCCUAUGGAUAAAAGAACAACGGUCCCACGUGAAGCGUAUGAGGCGGCAUUAUUUUAACAUUUUCUUUUAUAUUUUAAAUCAUCUGCUACCCCAUGAGCGUUGCCAUGGGUUUAAUUGUUUUGAACGUUUUAGCUGCUCUCCAUGAUAAUGGGUGGGAAAAUGUUUGUGAAGAAGGGGGAUUGGAAUUUUUUGAAAUGGGUGUAAUUUAUAGUCGAAAGAGAAGAAACCAACUUAGCAAUCAGUUUCAUCGUAUGGUGCUAGUAUUUCAUCGUCUGCUGCUAUCUUGUAUGAUUAAAUCUAUCGAACUAGUUUGCUUGGCCAUAUCUCCGGUUUAUGACUGUAUGCAAAUCUGCUUCAUCUUUGAUUGACUUUUGCUGUUCCAUGGAAAAAGAACAUGCUUCAUCUUUUAUCAAUAAGCAUGAUCCGCUGGUUCCCCCCUUUAGAAGAAAAAACAUGGCCCACCGAAAACAUUUGACAAAGUUGAUCUGCCGAUUUGGAAAACUUGUCAAACUCUAACUCAUUCAUAUAAUUGUUAUCAUCCACCAAAAAAACUUAUAAUUGUUCUCAUCCACCGAAAACUUUAUUCAAAGUUGAUCUACCGAUUUGGAAAACUUGAAAAACUCUAACUCAUUCAUAUAAUUUUUUUCGUCCACCGAAAACUUUAUCCAAAGUUGAUCUACCGAUUUGGAAAACUUGAAAAACUCUAACUCAUUCAUAUAAUUGUUUUCGUCCACCGAAAAUAUUCGACGAAGUUGGUCUACCGAUUUGGGAAACUUGUCAUGCGUAGUACUUCACGUGAAAAAACCCGAGGGAUAUAACUCCAUGGUUUUUUCUCGUAUCAUGAUCAAUGAAAAGAAUAAACUUCGGUAAUUGAGUCGGCUGCAAGGGUUUGAGUGAUUCGAUCCUAGGAUCAGUUCCUUCUGUUCAUCAUGUUUCAAAACAUGUUUUCGUCCAUUUCGGAAUCCAUAAAACCCAUGGGUUUGCAGAAAACAAGCACGAUUGGGAAAUCUGGUGAGUUUUCUCUCGUAUGUCAAUUAUUGAUGAAGAAACCAAUUUUUUGGAAUGGGUGUAAUUUAGAGUCGAAAGUGAAGAAACCAUUUUUUCAAGCCAGUUAUAACCACGACGUCUCGUCAUUCACCUGUGGGGAAAGGUGAAACCUUUUUAUUUUAUUAUGCGCGUAAAACCUUUUUAAUUAUUUUAUUUUAUUUUAUUACUUUAUUAUUUUAUUUUAUCAGUUCAACGAAUAUGUAGAAGAAUAUCUCUAAAACAAUGUUCUCACCCUAAUGAGGGGGCAUGUUUUGCCAAGGGAAAUGAGUUAUCUCAGAUAGAGAAAAAAGACAGAUUCCUAGCGCCCCAUGCGUCGUGCUCUGCUUUUCCUUUGGUCAUCCAGGACGGACUCGAUCAUGAUUUGAUCAGCGACGCUCAACGCGAGUGAUGUGUGCGGGGCGUGGGAACAGUGUGGCUAUUUUUGAAUUGCCACCGGGUACAUUGUGGAUAGACGUAUAGACAACUCGCCCCCAGUCAUAGUCAUGGCUGCUUUGCUUGUGCUCCCGUUGGUUGCUUUGAUGGGUCUCGGCUCAUAAAUUUCCACCCCAUUUUAUAAAUGAUACUUCUGUAAUAAUAGCGAGUUAUAGCCCAGCUGCUUCUUUUUUUAUGUCGAGCGGUGCAUGUGUGGAUUAAUGCCAGGAGGGAGCUAAAUUCAAUCCGGCGAGGAUGGAUCACGUGCGCCCGCAGCUGCAGUGGCCCUCGCUUUUUGGCACUACGUAACUCCAUGGUUGGGUCGUACUACUCUCGAGCUACUCUGUUUAAAAAAUCCACACGGUACGCUGUUCGCAAGGAGAUGGACAGCGGAGAGGGGGCUGCUUUGAAUCCACUACCGGUGUGCACAGGAGCCAUCAUCACACUUUGCCCUCGUAGCUGCUCGAGUUGACGGCUACGCAGAGCCCCUGUUUAGUGAGCCAUUACUUCGCCGUCCUCCCUGCUCGCAGCACCGCUUGCAUAAGAGCCGCGUCCCACCAAGCUAGCUCGGCCGAAGGAGAGCUUAAGUCAUUGCAAGAACAAGAUUCUGCUUCCUCUUGAACUUGUACCGGCGACCUCGACCAGUUCCUUGGGCUGGGAGCGGGGACCGACAACGAGGUGAGCAUCCAUUCCAUUCCCUCCACUCGUUCAUCGCUCUGCCUUGGGUUGCUUACUGAUAUGGUUGUUCUUGCUCUUUUGUUUCUUGUUAUUGUUCUUCAUGGUUCCUUGCUUGUUCAUUCGUUAGAUGUCCGACGAUCCAGAUGCGUACGCUAGAAGAUAUCCGCAUAGGAGUAGGUCAUGGGCCCGGGUCUAUGAGUCUAGGAAGAGAUCCAAGGGUAGCAAGAUCCAUGUUGAUAGUUGUUUCUCUCCAAAAGAUGUGUAUGAAGUAGUAGAUCAGUUUAUGCUCGACCAGAGAGCAGCCAUAGUGGAUAUCGGGCUCGGAGGGAUGCUAAACGUAGACAACUUCACACACAUGGACCGUGAAUUCUCAUGGGACUUGUUGCUGAACACCGAUGUCGAGCGCUCUGCUCUUAAGAUAGAGGAUGGUGUCUACGUCACUUUCAACGAGAUUGACAUCCACAACAUCUUAGGCACGUCUGUCGGGGGUGAUAUUGAGAUAGACAACAGAUAUGGUGGACCCAUUGUAGCCCAAGUUCAUAAGAUUAGGACCGUGCUAGAUUUAGAAGAUGUCCCUUUGUACGUGACGACCGCUGACUUGAGGUGGGCUCUCAAGAAACCAUGUAAAACUCCCCUUUCCGAGGAAGACAAAGUCAGGACCCAGGUUGGUUUUGCCAUCCUUUGCAUUGCCACUUGUUUCAGUCCUAUGGAUAAAAGAACAACGGUCCCACGCGAAGCGUAUGAGAUAUGCAUUAUUUUAAAUGAAUUAACGACAAUUUCCCAUCUUAUUUUAACAUUUUCUGUUAUAUUUUAAAUCAGCUGCUACCCCAUGAGCGUUGCCAUGGGUUUAAUUGUUUUGAACGUUUUAGCUGCUCUCCAUGAUAAUGGGUGGGAAAAUGUUUCUGAAGAAGGGGGAUUGGAAUUUUUUGAAAUGGGUGUAAGUUAUAGUCGAAAGAGAAGAAACCAACUUAGCAAUCAGUUUCAUCAUCUGGUGCUAGUAUUUCAUCGUCUGCUGCUAUCUUGUAUGAUUAAAUCUAUCAAACUAGUUUGCUUGGCCAUAUCUCCGGUUUAUGACUGUAUGCAAAUCUGCUUCAUCUUUGAUUGACUUUUUCUUUUCCAUGGAAAAAGAACAAGCUUCAUCUUUUAUCAAUAAGCAUGAUCCGUUGGUUCCACCCAUUAAAAAAACAUGGCCCACCGAAAACAUUUGACAAAGUUGAUCUGCCAAUUUGGAAAACUUGUCAAAAUCUAACUCAUUCAUAUAAUUGUUAUCAUCCACCAAAAAAAACUUAUAAUUGUUCUCAUCCACCGAAAACUUUAUUCAAAGUUGAUCUACCGAUUUGGAAAACUUGAAAAACUCUAACUCAUUCAUAUAGUUGUUUUCGUCCACCGAAACUUUAUUCAAAGUUGAUCUACCGAUUUGGAAAACUUGAAAAACUCUAACUCAUUCAUGUAAUUGUUUUCGUCCACCAAAAACAUUCCACGAAGUUGGUCUACCGAUUUGGGAAACUUGUCGUGUGUAAUACUUCACGUGAAAAAAAACCGAGGGAUAUAACUCCAUGGUUUUUUCUCGUAUCAGGAUCAAUGAAAAGAACCAACUUCGGUAAUUGAGUCGGCUGAAAGGGUUUGAGUGAUUCGAUCCUAGGAUUAGUUCCUUCUGUUCAUCAUGUUUCAAAACAUGUUUUCGUCCAUUUCGGAAUCCAUAAAACCCAUGGGUUUGCAGAAAACAAGCACGAUUGGGAAAUCUUGUGAGUUUUCUCUCCUAUGCAAUUAUUGAUGAAGAAACCAAUUUUUUGGAAUGGGUGUAAUUUAGAGUCGAAAGUGAAGAAACCAUUUUUUCAAGCCAGUUAUAACCACGACGUCUCGUCAUUCACCUGUGGGGAAAGGUGAAACCUUUUUAUUUUAUUAUGCGUGUAAAACCUUUUUAAUUAUUUUAUUAUUUUAUUAUUUUAUUUUAUCAGUUCAACGGAUAUGCAGAAGAAUAUCUCUAAAACAAUGUUCUCACCCAAAUGAGGGGCAUGUUUUGCCAAGGGAAAUGAGUUAUCUCAGAUAGAGAAAAAAGACAGAUUCCUAGCGCCCCAUGCGUCAUGCUCUGCUUUUCCUUUGGUCAUCAAGGACGGACUCGAUCAUGAUUUGAUCAGCGACGCUCAACGCGAGUGAUGUGGGCGGGGCGUGGGAACAGUGCGGCUAUUUUUGAAUUGCCAUCGGGUACAUUGUGGAUAGACGUAUAAACAACUCGCCCCCAGUCAUAGUCAUGGCUGCUUUGCUUGUGCUCCCAUUGGUUGCUUUGAUGGGUCUCGGCUCAUAAAGUUCCACCCCACUUUAUAAAUGAUACUGCUGUAAUAACAGCGAGUUAUAGCCCAGCUGCUUCUUUUUUUAUGUCGAGCGGUGCAUGUGUGGAUUAAUGCCAGGAGGGAGCUAAAUUCAAUCCGGCGAGGAUGGAUGACGUGCGCCCGCAGCUGCUGUGGCCCUCGCUUUUUGGCACUACGUAACUCCAUGGUUGGGUCGUACUACUCUCGAGCUACUCUGUUUAAAAAAUCCACAUGGUACGCUGUUCGCAAGGAGAUGGACAGCGGAGAGGGGGCUGCUUUGAAUCCACUGCCGGUGUGCACAGGAGCCAUCAUCACACUUUGCCCUCGUGGCUGCUCGAGUUGACGGCUACGCAGAGCCCCUGUUUAGUGAGCCAUUACUUCGCCGUCCUCCCUGCUCGCAGCACCGCUUGCAUAAGAGCCGCGUCCCACCAAGCUAGCUCGGCCGAAGGAGAGCUUAAGUCAUUGCAAGAACAAGAUUCUGCUUCCUCUUGAACUUGUACCGGCGACCUCGACCAGUUCCUUGGGCUGGGAGCGGGGACCGACAACGAGGUGAGCAUCCAUUCCAUUCCCUCCACUCGUUCAUCGCUCUGCCUUGGGUUGCUUACUGAUAUGGUUGUUCUUGCUCUUUUGUUUCUUGUUAUUGUUCUUCAUGGUUCCUUGCUUGUUCAUUCGUUAGAUGUCCGAUGAUCCAGAUGCGUACGCUAGAAGAUAUCCGCAUAGGAGUAGGUCAUGGGCCCGGGUCUAUGAGUCUAGGAAGAGAUCCAAGGGUAGCAAGAUCCAUGUUGAUAGUUGUUUCGCUCCAAAAGAUGUGUAUGAAGUAGUAGAUCAGUUUAUGCUCGACCAGAGAGCAGCCAUAGUGGAUAUCGGGCUCGGAGGGAUGCUAAACGUAGACAACUUCACACACAUGGACCGUGAAUUCUCAUGGGACUUGUUGCUGAACACCGAUGUCGAGCGCUCUGCUCUUAAGAUAGAGGAUGGUGUCUACGUCACUUUCAACGAGAUUGACAUCCACAACAUCUUAGGCACGUCUGUCGGGGGUGAUAUUGAGAUAGACAACAGAUAUGGUGGACCCAUUGUAGCCCAAGUUCAUAAUAUUAGGACCGUGCUAGAUUUAGAAGAUGUCCCUUUGUACGUGACGACCGCUGACUUGAGGUGGGCUCUCAAGAAACCAUGUAAAACUCCCCUUUCCGAGGAAGACAAAGUCAGGACCCAGGUUGGUUUUGCCAUCCUUUGCAUUGCCACUGGUUUCAGUCCUAUGGAUAAAAGAACAACGGUCCCACGCGAAGCGUAUGAGAUAUGCAUUAUUUUAAAUGAAUUAACGACAAUUUCCCAUCUUAUUUUAACAUUUUCUGUUAUAUUUUAAAUCAGCUGCUACCCCAUGAGCGUUGCCAUGGGUUUAAUUGUUUUGAAACUUUUAAUGCUCUCCAUGAUAAUGGGUGGGAAAAUGUUUCUGAAGAAGGGGGAUUGGAAUUUUUUGAAAUGGGUGUAAUUUAUAGUCGAAAGAGAAGAAACCAACUUAGCAAUCAGUUUCAUCAUCUGGUGCUAGUAUUUCAUCGUCUGCUGCUAUCUUGUAUGAUUAAAUCUAUCAAACUAGUUUGCUUGGCCAUAUCUCCGGUUUAUGACUGUGUGCAAAUCUGCUUCAUCUUUGAUUGACUUUUUCUUUUCCAUGGAAAAAGAACAAGCUUCAUCUUUUAUGAAUAAGCAUGAUCCGUUGGUUCCACCCAUUAAAAAAACAUGGCCCACCAAAAACAUUUGACAAAGUUGAUCUGCCGAUUUGGAAAACUUGUCAAAAUCUAACUCAUUCAUAUAAUUGUUAUCAUCCACCAAAAAAAACUUAUAAUUGUUCUCAUCCACCGAAAACUUUAUUCAAAGUUGAUCUACCGAUUUGGAAAACUUGAAAAACUCUAACUCAUUCAUAUAGUUGUUUUCGUCCACCGAAAACUUUAUUCAAAGUUGAUCUACCGAUUUGGAAAACUUGAAAAACUCUAACUCAUUCAUGUAAUUGUUUUCGUCCACCAAAAACAUUCCACGAAGUUGGUCUACCGAUUUGGGAAACUUGUCAUGUGUAAUACUUCAUGUGAAAAAAAACCGAGGGAUAUAACUCCAUGGUUUUUUCUCGUAUCAUGAUCAAUGAAAAGAACCAACUUCGGUAAUUGAGUCGGCUGCAAGGGUUUGAGUGAUUCGAUCCUAGGAUUAGUUCCUUCUGUUCAUCAUGUUUCAAAACAUGUUUUCGUCCAUUUCGGAAUCCAUAAAACCCAUGGGUUUGCAGAAAACAAGCACGAUUGGGAAAUCUUGUGAGUUUUCUCUCCUAUGCAAUUAUUGAUGAAGAAACCAAUUUUUUGGAAUGGGUGUAAUUUAGAGUCGAAAGUGAAGAAACCAUUUUUUCAAGCCAGUUAUAACCACGACGUCUCGUCAUUCACCUGUGGGGAAAGGUGAAACCUUUUUAUUUUAUUAUGAGUGUAAAACCUUUUUAAUUAUUUUAUUUUAUUUUAUUAUUUUAUUAUUUUAUUUUAUCAGUUCAACGGAUAUGCAGAAGAAUAUCUCUAAAACAAUGUUCUCACCCAAAUGAGGGGGCAUGUUUUGCCAAGGUUAAUGAGUUAUCUCAGAUAGAGAAAAAAGACAGAUUCCUAGCGCCCCGUGCGUCAUGCUCUGCUUUUCCUUUGGUCAUCAAGGACGGACUCGAUCAUGAUUUGAUCAGCGACGCUCAACGCGAGUGAUGUGGGUGGGGCGUGGGAACAGUGCGGCUAUUUUUGAAUUGCCAUCGGGUACAUUGUGGAUAGACGUAUAGACAACUCGCCCCCAGUCAUAGUCAUGGCUGCUUUGCUUGUGCUCCCAUUGGUUGCUUUGAUGGGUCUCGGCUCAUAAAGUUCCACCCCACUUUAUAAAUGAUACUGCUGUAAUAACAGCGAGUUAUAGCCCAGCUGCUUCUUUUUUUAUGUCGAGCGGUGCAUGUGUGGAUUAAUGCCAGGAGGGAGCUAAAUUCGAUCCGGCAAGGAUGGAUCACGUGCGCCCGCGGCUGCAGUGGCCCUCGCUUUUUGGCACUACGUAACUCCAUGGUUGGGUCGUAGUACUCUCGAGCUACUCUGUUUAAAAAAUUCACACGGUACGCUAUUCGCAAGGAGAUGGACAGCGGAGAGGGGGCUGCUUUGAAUCCACUGCCGGUGUGUACAUGAGCCAUCAUCACACUUUGCCUCGUGUCUGCUCGAGUUGACGGCUACGCAGAGCCCCUGUUUAGUCAGCCAUUACUUCGCCUUCCUCCUUUCUCGCAGCACCGCUUGCAUAAGAGCCGCGUCCCGCCAAGCUAGCUCGGCCAAAGGAGAGCUUCAGUCAUUGUAAGAACAAGAUUCUGCUUCCUCUUGAACUGGUACCGGCGACCUCGACCAGUUCCUUGGGCUGGGAGCGGCGACCGACGACGAGGUGAGCAUCCAUUCCAUUCCCUCCACUCAUUCAUCGCUCUGCCUUGGGUUGCUUACUGAUAUGGUUGUUCUUGCUCUUUUGUUUCUUGUUCUUGUUUCUUCGUCGUUCCUUGCUUGUUCAUUCGUUAGAUGUCCGACGAUCCAGAUGCGUACGCUAGAAGAUAUCCGCAUAGGAGUAGGUCAUGGUCCCGGGUCUAUGAGUCUAGGAAGAGAUCCAAGGGUAGCAAGAUCCAUGUUGAUAGUUGUUUCGCUCCAAAAGAUGUGUAUGAAGUAGUAGAUCAGUUUACGCUCGACCAGAGAGCAGCCAUAGUGGAUAUCGGGCUCGGAGGGAUGCUAAACGUUGACAACUUCACACACAUGGACCGUGAAUUCUCAUGGGACUUGUUGCUGAACACCGAUGUCGAGCGCUCUGCUCUUAAGAUAGAGGAUGGUGUCUACGUCACUUUCAACGAGAUUGACAUCCACAACAUCUUAGGCACGUCUGUCGGGGGUGAUAUUGAGAAAGACAACAGAUAUGGUGGACCCACUGUAGCCCAAGUUCAUAAGAUUAGGACCGUGCUAGAUUUAGAAGAUGUCCCUUUGUACGUGAUGACCGCUGACUUGAGGUGGGCUCUCAAGAAACCAUGUCAAACUCCCCUUUCCGAGGAAGACAAAGUCAGGACCCAGGUUGGUUUUGCCAUGCUUUGCAUUGCCACUUGUUUCAGUCCUAGGGAUAAAAGAACAACGGUCCCACGCGAAGCGUAUGAGAUAUGCAUUAUUUUAAACGAAUUAACGAGAAUUUCCCAUCCCAUUUUAACAUUUUCUGUCAUAUUUUAAAUCAGCUGCUACCCCAUGAGCGUUGCCAUGGGUUUAAAUGUUUUGAACGUUUUAGCUGCUCUCCAUGAUAAUGGGUGGGAAAAUGUUUCUAAAGAAGGGGGAUUGGAAUUUUUUGAAAUGGGUGUAAUUUAUAGUCGAAAGAGAAGAAACCAACUUAGCAAUCAGUUUCAUCAUCUGGUGCUAGUAUUUCAUCGUCUACUACUAUCUUGUAUGAUUAAAUCUAUCAAACUAGUUUGCUUGGCCAUAUCUCCGGUUUAUGACUGUAUGCAAAUCUGCUUCAUCUUUGAUUGACUUUUGCUGUUCCAUGGAAAAAGAACAUGCUUCAUCUUUUAUCAAUAAGCAUGAUCCGCUGGUUUCCCCCUUUAGAAAAAAAACAUGGCCCACCGAAAACAUUUGACAAAGUUGAUCUGCCGAUUUGGAAAACUUGUCAAACUCUAACUCAUUCGUAUAAUUGUUAUCAUCCAGCAAAAAAAACUUAUAAUUGUUCUCGUCCACCGAAAACUUUAUUCAAAGUUGAUCUACCGAUUUGGAAAACUUGAAAAACUCUAACUCAUUCAUAUAAUUGUUUUCGUGCACCGAAAACUUUAUUCAAAGUUGAUCUACCGAUUUGGAAAACUUAAAAAACUCUAACUCAUUCAUAUAAUUAUUUUCGUCCACCGAAAACAUUAGACGAAGUUGGUCUACCGAUUUGGGAAACUUGUUAUGUGUAGUACUUCACGUGAAAAAACCCGAGGGAUAUAACUCCAUGGUUUUUUUCUCGUACCAUGAUCAAUGAAAAGAACCAACUUCGGUAAUUGAGUCGGCUGCAAGGGUUUGAGUGAUUCGAUCCUAGGAUUAGUUCCUUCUGUUCAUCAUGUUUCAAAACAUGUUUUCGUCCAUUUCGGAAUCCAUAAAACCCAUGGGUUUGCCGAAAACAAGCACGACUGGGAAAUCUGUUGAGUUUUCUCUCCUAUGUCAAUUAUUGAUGAAGAAACCAAUUUUUUGGAAUGGGUGUAAUUUAGAGUCGAAAGUGAAGAAACCAUUUUUUCAAGCCAGUUAUAACCACGACGUCUCGUCAUUCACCUGUGGGGAAAGGUGAAACCCUUUUAUUUUAUUAUAAGUGUAAAACCCUUUUAAUUAUUUUAUUUUAUUUUAUUAUUUUAUUAUUUUAUUUUAUCAGUUCAACGGAUAUGUUGAAGAAUAUCUCUAAAACAAUGUUCUCACCCAAAUGAGGGGGCAUGUUUUGCCAAGGGAAUUGAGUUAUCUCAGAUAGAGAAAAAAGACAAAUUCCUAGCGCCCCAUGCGUCGUGCUCUGCUUUUCCUUUGGUCAUCCAGGACGGACUCGAUCAUGAUUUGAUCAGCGACGCUCAACGCGAGUGAUGUGGGUGGGGCGUUGGAAUAGUGCGGCUAUUUUUGAAUUGCCAUCGGGUACAUUGUGGAUAGACGUAUAGACAACUCGCCCCCAGUCAUAGUCAUGGCUGCUUUGCUUGUGCUCCCGUUGGUUGCUUCGAUGGGUCUCGGCUCAUAAAGUUCCACCCCACUUUAUAAAUGAUACUGCUGUAAUAACAGCGAGUUAUAGCCCAGCUGCUUCUUUUUUUUAUGUCGAGCGGUGCAUGUGUGGAUUAAUGCCAGGAGGGAGCUAAAUUCGAUGAUUCGAUCCUACGAAUAUUUCCUUCUGUUCAUCAUGUUUGAAAACAUGUUUUCGUCCAUUUCGAAAUCCAUAAAACCCAUGAGUUUGCAGAAAACAAGCACGAUUGGAAAAACCGGUGAGUUUUCUCUCCUAUGUCAAUUAUUGUUGAAGAAACCAAUUAUUUUGUGGCUCGUGACCAACAAAGUCAGCUUCAAUGGCUAUCUCGAUCGUGCUAAUGUGUAGUAGUUCCACCCAUCACUAUACGUUAAAACAAAAAUGGUUUCUCCUCUUUCAAUCUAAAUAAAAAUAGAAAAGAUAUACAUAAUACAACAUUAUUCCUCCGCCCACGGAAAAUGAUAAUCCAUUGUGCGCAUAGUUGGGGACCUUAACUAUUUGACUCAUUGAAUUGUUUUCGAUUAUGGCAUCCCGUGUUAUGUGCAACAAACUUUUUGUCAUUGUGCGCAUAGUUGGGGACCUUAUUUGACUCGUUGAAUUUUUUUUUUAUUAUCGGAAAACUUGUAAUGUGUAGUACUUCACGUGAAAAAACCUGAGGAGACAACUCCAUUGUGAUUUCCUGGUAUCGUGUUCGAUGGAAAAUAACAAACUUCGGUAAUCGAGUCGGCUGCAAUGGUUUGGGUGGUUCUAUUCAUGGAGAGUACCUGAAAGUUCAAAACAACGGAAUUCCGAUGAGUUUCAUCCAUGGUUGUUUUUGCUAAAAUGUUUGAUGGAAAAACCAAACAUUUUGGGACUCGCUACAAAUAAUGUGAGCUACAAUGCGAUAGUUCCACCCUUCGCUAAACGUGAAAUGGAACAAGCAAUUUGGCGUCCCCGAACGUAAGACUACUUAUUCCCAGUUGAACUGAUUUGAAAAACUUGUCAACCUCAAUCACACACUGUUCCCUCUUUGUUUGAAAACUUCUGCCUCUUGUUUGAAAACUUGUCCCUCUUAUGUGAUACAUCCGGUUAUUUUUGACAGCUUUUCUUUUUUGAUGACUGAUAUGUCGGACUGGAAUUUCUCCAUGUUUUUUUUUUUCAAACGAAUUUUGGUGCUCCCAACUUCCGAUUGGUUAUUUUGCAUUUGUACUAGUUGCGCAUAAUGAUUCAUCCAGUGGAAAACUAAACCGUUGGGAAAUGUCAACUCGAUGAAAUGUCAAGAUCGUGCACGCGGUUUGGUCUACAGUGCUGGAAGUACUGACGCGAUCUGCUGCACUGUUCCAUACGUGACUGGCUAGCCGGUAGCCACGGGGCUAGCGUGAUGGCGUUGCACGGUAGUCAGAACAUGGGCGGCUGACCAAAUGAGCCCGACUUUGACUGAUAUUAAACUGGACACUGUUAACGUGUAUUGUACCUGUGUAUGUAUGUGUACUUGUACUCCUAGAUUAUAGGAUCAUAGAGCAUAUGCCCUGGCCUGCGUGCCACUUUCAUCGGGCUCCUUGUAACUACUCCAGCGUGUGUGUAUAUUGUACUCGGUGUGGAUGAAUCAAUACACAGAGAGAAUUGAUCGUUCCACUUGGUAUCAGACUCCAGGUGCGCCCUCCCAUGGCCGAGCACUCGUCCUCCCCCGCCACUGCUCCGGCCACCAGCUCGGCCACCUCGCCGGGGACUCUCUCCAGCUCGUCCACCGGCGCCGGCACCGCCGCUGGCACUUCUUCUCCCUUCAUCUUCAGCAACCCUGGUAACCUCGACCUCUCAAAUUCUUCUUUAAAGCCUCGUUUCUCUAGUAUUGUUGUUGGCAAUGGCAAACACCUCCCUAUUCAAGCCACUGACUCGACCAUUAACGGCAUUUUCUAUCGCUUCUCGUGCCCUCACACCUCACCACAAAAUGGCAAGGCAGAACGUCUUCUUCGCACUACAAAUGAUAUCAUACGCACUCUCCUCGUCCAAGCCAACCUCGCCCCUACUUUUUGGGCAGAAGCUUUGCACACGGCCACAUAUCUCCUCAACCGUCGCCCCUCUCGUGCAAUUCACGAUCACACACCAUACUUUAUGCUUCAUGCCAUUCACCCCACGUAUGAUCAGUUAUCAUACGAGUGUUUGGGUGUCUCUGUUACCGGUUACCCCAACCUCUACGCCACUUCUCCCCAUAAGCUAGCCCCACGCUCCACCCGCUGCAUAUUUCUUGGCUAUCCCCUUGAACACAAGGGGUAUCGCUGCUACGACCUAACCCAACGCCGCGUAAUCGGCUCCCGUCAAGUCACUUUUGACGAGACAAUUUUUCCGUAUGCACCGCCCACACCAACGCCCCAGUCCAGCCCCUUCGCAGACAAUCUCGUCCCACCUGCCCUCCAAUCGCUGCCAGAUCCGCCCCAGAUCCGCCCCAGAUCCGUCCCACCUGCCCACCUACCUCGGACCGAGGCCCACGCAAUCCCCCGGAUGGGACGCCCCCAUGCAGCCCAAUCCCGCAUCGCCGUCCCCCACCCAGUCCAACAACCCCAUCCACGUGCCGCUCCCCCUCUGGCUCGCCCCGGUCCCCCGAACCUGGCUCUACCCCACCACCAUGACCACACGCUUCCUCGGGCCUCGCACCAGCCUCGCCUGCCGCGUCCGCUUCCUUGGAUCGGCCGCCCGAUUCUCCUGCCCGCGGAUCCUCCUUGGAUCCUGCGCCUGCCAGCCCUGCCACUGACCCCACGCCAUCCACCUCUGAUUCCGCGCCCGCCACUCCCGUGCAGCCACGUCUCCCACCUCGCGCCCAACUUGUUCAGCCUCCCCACAACUCACAUAAAAUGAAAACACGCUCCAAAUCCGGAUUUUGCCAACCAAAACGCCUUUUCCUCGCCACUACCGACUCCUCCCCCAUCUCACCCAUCCCUCCAAAUUACCGUUCUACUCUCAAAGACCCACAUUGGCAACGUGCAAUGCUAGAUGAACAUGAUGCUUUACUUAAGAAUUCUACUUGGUCUUUGGUUCCCAGACCUGCAGGUGUUAAUGUGGUGACAGGCAAGUGGAUCUAUCGCCACAAGUUCCAUCCGGACGACACAUUAGCGAGGUACAAGGCACGUUGGGUUGUGCGAGGUUUUACCCAACGGGAGGGCGUCGACUACGACGAGACAUUUAGUUCGGUCGUCAAGCCGGCCAACAUUCGCGCCGUGCUCAGCAUUGCCACGACCAGCUCCUGGCCAAUUCACCAACUUGACGUGAAGAAUGCGUUCCUCCAUGGCGAUCUCAAGGAAAUAGUGUACUGUGCUCAACCGUCCGGCUUCGUGGAUCCCGACCGGCCGGACCAUGUGUGCCUUCUUCGAAAAUUACUCUAUGGCUUGAAGCAAGCCCCCCGCACAUGGUUUCACCGUUUCCAUUCUUUUCUCUUGUCACUUGGCUUCACCGCCUCCAAAAGCGACUCUUCGCUCUUCAUUCUACAUCGUGGAGCCUCUCUUGCCUACCUUCUCGUGUAUGUCGAUGAUAUUAUCCUAACCGCUAGUACACCACAUACUCUCCACUACAUCGUCUCCUCUCUCAAACACGAGUUUUCUAUGUCCGAUCUCGGUGAGCUCCAUCACUUUCUUGGCAUCAACGUCACCCCCAACACCCACGGCUUGUUCUUGUGUCAAUAACAAUAUGCACUCGAGGUCUUUGAACGUGCCAAGAUGCUCAACUGCAAGCCAGUCUCCACUCCCAUCGACACACAAUCCAAGCUGUCUGCCCAUGAUGGUCGUCUCCUUGACAACCCCACCCAGUACCGCAGCCUUGCCGGAGCACUUCAAUACCUAACACUCACUCGGCCCGAUCUCUCCUAUGCGGUACAACAAGUGUGUCUCUUCAUGCAUGCCCCUCGCGAUUCUCACAUGCAACUCAUCAAACGCAUCCUGAGAUAUCUCCGUGGCACUACCCACUAUGGCUUGCAACUGUACAAAUCCUCCUCCCUCGACCUUGUGGCUUAUACCGACGCCGAUUGGGCCGGCUGUCCGGACACGCGCAAGUCAACCUCUGGGUUCUGUGUCUUUCUCGGACAUAACUUGUUGUCCUGGUCCUCUAAGUGGCAAGCCACUGUCUCUAGGUCUAGUGCCGAGGCCGAAUACCGUGGAGUCGCAAAUUGCGUUGCCGAGUCCUGCUGGUUACGCCAAAUCUUGCAUGAGCUUCGUCACCCACCGUCUCAUGCCACCAUCGUCUAUUGUGACAAUGUGUCGGCCUCCUACAUUGCCUCUAACCCCAUACAACACCAAAGGACCAAACACAUCGAGAUCGAUCUUCAUUUUGUCCGCGACCGUGUGGCUCUCGGUGACAUUCGUGUUCUCCACGUCCCCUCCAGCUCACAAUUCGCGGACCUGUUCACCAAGGGGCUGCCUUCACAGGUCUUCCACGAGUUCGGAACCAGCAUCAACAUCCUUCCACACGGAGUUCCAGCUGCGGGGGGUGUUAACGUGUAUUGUACCUGUGUAUGAAUGUGUACUUGUACUCCUAGAUUAUAGGAUCAUAGAGCAUGCCCUGGCCUGCGUGCUACUUCCAUCGGGCUCCUUGUAACUACUCCAACAUGUGUAUAUAUUGUACUCGGUGUGGAUGAAUCAAUACACAGAGAGAAUUGAUCGUUCCACUGAUACAUCAUGUUACGGUAGAUACUUCCAACAGCACAUCUGAUUUAUUUUUAACAUUAGAACAACUGAUUCAGACUGGGCGGCGCUACUCCAUGGCCCAUGUAUUCACUAUGUCAUUGAUGUUCGUCGGGAGGGCUGCCAGGUUGUCCUUCAUUUGAACGAGUUCUGCGAGAAUCUCCUGGCGCUCCGCGAUGAUGGCGCCCUGUGUGAUCAAGAAGACGCGUCAACUAGUUAAUGCAUGUACAACGAUAAUCGCAUGGAUGAAGGGAGGCAUUGCAAAAAAGUGCGCAAAACUUGAUUACCUCUGACAUAUCCGCCAUCACAUUCCUCCCGUCGAAGUGUUUGGACACACGAGAGAUCCACACGCCUGUGUCGGUCCUGGAAAAGUGUGUGGUUAAGGGUUGGGAGCAGUACAGAGGUUAAUCAACAAUGCCAGGAGAAAACAAUACUUAUGUAACUCACUGGUGCACUGUGGUUGGUGAUGUGACGUGGAACACUUUCUCCCACCUGAUUGAGUCAACUUUCCAAUUGCUGAACAACUUGUAAAUUAGGGUAAAAAAUGCAACGUGCAGCUUGUCAGCGACGGCUCCAAGUAGAUCCUUGCGCCGUGGUGUGGUGCAAUUGCCGUACGAUGGAUCAAAGAUGUUGAUUAUCUUCCUCUGCAUGUCCCAAGCGUACAAGCACCAUCCGAAAUCGAAAAUUGUCGGCAGGUAAAACUACAUGAAAAAAAAAACAUGAGACGCCUGGACAAAAAUGGUGCCAAAACAGAGCAAAGGCGUGCGGUCCUUCUGUCGCUCACCAUGGUGCAGUCCGCGAUGUUGAAUGACACGUGGGGCCCUACAAGCUACGCGCAUACGGACAACAGAGUCCAAGUUUCUUCUCCAGCUAGUGCAGCAGUCUGAGAUGAACGACAAAAGCGACUUGAGAGAAAAAAAAUGGAGGGCAUGUGAGCAACUUUCUAUUAAAUAAAAAACUCACCGAAAAAUCUGGCUCCAUAAAUUUACACCAUCGAGGUGCAUUAUCAGGGUAAAGGAUCGCGCCAUUGAUUUGGUCUUUUGGCGACGGAAAAUCAGCGCGCAUACCUCGUGGUCGAGAUGGUCUGCCUUCACAAUCUGGGUAAGCAGUGGGUUCGGAGUGAUCAAGAUGAACCUUGGCGUGGCAUGAGUUAUAAUUGCCCUGUGUUAAUAAGUGUUAGCUAUCACAACAAACGUGUAUGAGCCACUAGUGCGCGUGAUUGCAUGUACCUUCCAAGCUCUUCCGGCGAAACCGUUUUCAAAAACAAGUCAGCCGCUUUCCACACAGACACCAAGACGGUUGGACGAUCUCGGCUGUCAAUCCAGUGCGGCGUGGCAUACGCUGCAUGCAUCGCUUUUUGCUUGGGCGGGAUGCCACGCGAUGCCUGGCCAAAAACCACUGUGCCGGCGGUGUGCGUGGUCUCGCCGUCCAGCAUCAUAAUCAAACCUGCAAGGCCGUCCCACCACCCCUUCUGUUCGUCUGCUGGCGAUUGGGAGAUAACCAGGCUCUUGGAUGGUGCUGGCGUGAGAAAACCUGCACGUUCGCCGCUGGUGGUCUCCUGGUCUAUGGAACGAAAAUUUACAAAAAGAUAGAAUAUAUGUGAGCUGACCGCGUGGAGGAAACAUAUGCAGAAAAAACAGAUUUUAGAAAACGAGGGACGUACCUUGUGCUACUGCUUUCAUUUUUUGGGCGCUGAUGAACUAGAUGAGUUGAACAUUUUCCCAGACGAGCUCUCCCCUGGACCAAGUCAUAGCCGUUACUCCGGUGAAAAACUCUGUCCGAUGGCAUAAACAUAAAUAUGGACGUACCAUCGGACUCCGACAUAUCCAACUUGUGCCUGUAAAUGUUGGUGCAGCGUGGAGACUCGGGAUUGGGUGGGUUGGUAAUGAUGCAUGCUAGUGUACGUAGGCUACAACAUAUGCAUCCCUCGCCAAGCUCGCUGACAAGUGUGUUCAGAAACGCGGUGUUCUCAGCAAACAAAUCAGCCUUAAGACUGUUUGCGAUCCUAAAUGUGGUGGCGUUAUGCCUCUUCAUCAGCAUCCCUGGAGUUAUUUACCCAAAACCACCACAUUAUGGGUUAGGGUAACAUCGGUAUCACAUUUGAGGCAGGGCACAAAAAAUCACCAGAAUUGCGCCUAAAGCGUAACGCGGAGCAUUGAUUGUCCGAUUUACUUGCGAAGACAGCAAAACCGACAAGUUGGCCCCAACUGUCGGGCUGACAUGGCGUGCCUAUGUGGAUAAUUUGCUGAGGUGGCAAAAGGGUCCCACCUGUCAAUGACUCUUUAUCCUUUUUCAUCUUCUCUUUUUAUUUCUCAUGGGCAUUUCAGCAAACACGCUAUGGGCGUGUCAUGAGCGGCGCAACGACCAGGCAAGGCCGUGUGGGCGGCGCACCGGGGAGCAGGCCGAGGCAGUUGCGGCGAGGAGAAGCUCGGGUGGCGCUGCAGAGAGGACGACAGUGGGCUCGGGCAGAGAGGACGCCACAGACUUGCCGCUGCAGUCGGACAUGCCCUCCACGACGCGCGCCAGGCGGAGCAGCAGGGCGACGGGUUCCGGCGGUUCGUCAUCCCCAUCGCCUACCUCUACCACCCGCUCUUCCAGCGGCUGCUGGAGGCGGCCCGGGACACGUAUGGCUACGGCUCGGCCGGCCCGCUUUGGCUGCCCUGCUCCGUCGACGAGUUCCUCCGCCUGCGCGCUUGUCGACCGGGAGACGGCGCACUCGCACUCCUCCACUACAAGAAAUAUGUCAACUUGUGACCUUGACUAUUGGUCACUGAAAGGUCAUUGUUUUUCAUUUGCGACCUUUUUUUGAUCAAAAACAGAAGGUCAAAAGCUGAGGGUCGUUAACUGACUAUAGCGACCAAAAUAUUCCUACUGUGGCGUUUUGGUCACUAGCAACCUCCCCAGGCCACGUAGGCAUCCAGCAUGGCAAGCUGAUGUGGCACAAGAUUCAGCCCGGUCUAAUUCAGUUUUCUACAUGGGCCUAGCCCAUUAAUUCGGCCUUUUUACUUUAUUUUUUUCCUGUGAUUUUAGUAGCUACAUGGGCCUGGCCCAACAAUUCAGCCUUUGAUUUCUUUGCAUGGCCCUUUUAACAGCAUGUUUUCUUUUGAUCUUUGUUUGGGCCAUUAUAUUUUAUAGCUUGUCCCACCAAUCAAAUGGGUGCCACUUGUCAUCAUCUCACACAUUGGGCCCACUUGACAGGAAUUUCAAAAUUGCUCAAAUUAUUUUCAUAAAUGGGUCCCACAAGUCAGGUAUCCAUUCCACAAACCAGAUUCAAUGCCAAUAUAUUUUCCAGUACAGAAAUGCAUUUCAGGUAAACAAUAUUAUUCUAAGAAUAUGUACAUAACUCCCAGCAUUUGAAUAACAAUUAGCAAGGACAUAUACAUCAAAUUCUCAGCAAAAUCAGCAGUACAUCCAAAUUCCAAGGGCAACAUUACAACAACGUCCUGCAUCUCCCUAGGAGCAGGAGGGAUAAGAGAGCAUGCAUGAAGGCCUGCAUGCCUUGCUUCUUCCAACUUCGUCCUAGAGCUCACGUCAAAACAUGAAUGAAGGCAAUCAUCUGCAUGUUAUAAAACAAAAUGGUUAUGAACAAAAUGUAUGAACUGAAAGGAGCAAGCUAUUUUGUAUUUGAGAAACUGAAAAAUGCAUGAACAAUUUUUCAGAAGAUAACUAAACUUUUGUGCAUGCAUUUAGACAGGAAAACAAGGGCUUGUAGUAUACACAUUAAUUAGAACAGGAUCGCAAGACACAAAUAUAAGCUAGAAUUGACAAGUGCACAUUAAUUUUAACAUAGCAUCACUAGCUCUCUUGUUGUCUGCAUAUUAAACCAUAUGGAAAAAUGCUCAGGAGUGGGAUUUUUGUUGGAAGGGACUUACGGUGGCCACCGACUUGUUCUUGGGGUUCUUCUGCUUGAACUCCACGCGGAACUCGCCCCUGACAAUAACCAACCAACAAACAGCAAGUUCAGAACAACGGCCGCCCGGAAACCACGGGAAAACAGGAAGGUGGUAAACAUAAGGGCAGGUGAAACUAAUAAUUAACAUCACAGGAGAGAAAACAUAGAUUGACUAUAUAAUAACAGUAUAUUCCUUAGCAAAAGAUGCCGUUAGGACCUAUACAGAUUGACUGAACAGUAUAUUCCAAC